UACGAAGGGGGCUAGCGUUGUUCGGAUUUACUGGGCGUAAAGCGCGUGUAGGCGGGUCGUUAAGUUGGGGGUGAAAUCCCGAGGCUCAACCUCGGAACUGCCUUCAAAACUGGCGGCCUGGAGCAGAUGAGAGGCGAGUGGAAUUCCGAGUGUAGAGGUGAAAUUCGUGGAUAUUCGGAGGAACACCAGUGGCGAAGGCGGCUCACUGGCCCGGUACCGACGCUGAGGUGCGAAAGCGUGGGGAGCAAACAGG
rnacentral:rRNA from 1 species